UACGAAGGGGGCUAGCGUUGCUCGGAAUGACUGGGCGUAAAGGGCGCGUAGGCGGCUUGCACAGUCAGGCGUGAAAUUCCUGGGCUCAACCUGGGGACUGCGCUUGAGACGUGUGGGCUUGAGUGGGGAAGAGGGUCGUGGAAUUCCCAGUGUAGAGGUGAAAUUCGUAGAUAUUGGGAAGAACACCGGUGGCGAAGGCGGCGACCUGGUCCUUGACUGACGCUGAGGCACGAAAGCGUGGGGAGCAAACAGG
rnacentral:rRNA from 1 species